AAUGUUUUUUUUUUAAUCAAAAAAUCAUCAAAUAAAAAUCAUCUAAUUUAUAAAAAAAACCUCUAGAGAUAUACAGUCAACACUCGAUGAUCCGAAGGCUUCGAACUUUUGAGUUUGAUAAUCAAUGAAACAAAUGUUUUGAAUGAUUCUUUUUUUUUAGCACCAUCUGUCGGUGAGUAGCAAAAUUACAUUUUUGUAUGGGCGAUCCCCUUACCAGCUUUAGCGCCAUCUCUUGGACAGUAGCCUGAUUUUUUAUCAAUCCUAGAAGUUUUUUUUUCGGGAUGAUGCCCUUGAAUUCCAGAACUGUUAUCAAACGUAAACAACUUAACUGUUUUUGUAGAUAACUUUAUGUUUUGUUGUCGAUUCAAUUCGAUCGAUUAGUUUCGUUCAGAAAAAAUAGCACCUGUACGACGUUUAAAAAGCUUGCCACUCGGAUGUCAGAUACAGACUCCACAACUUGGGUAGUACAAAGAAGUGAAAAAUACGAAAAGAAAAAAUGAAGAAUUUAUUCCUAAUUUUCUUGGUAACAAUUGUGCUGGCAAUCGGGGGCGUCAUUGCAUAUGAUCCAAUGACUAAACCUGCGAAUAGAUGGAACUAUGAUCAGAAGCAGUAUCCCGUACCGAAACCUAUGAAACGUUGCUCGUUUGUCAACGGAAAAUGGAUCGGAUUAUGUC